rnacentral:sRNA from 1 species
CCUGGAGCAGCCUCUCCAUGGAUGAGAAAGUCGAGUGUGGUUCAAGGAGAGCUUUGCUGAGAUGAACAGGGGCUCGAACGAGUGGAAGACGGUUGUGGGCGGUGCCAUGUUCUUCAUCGGCUUCACCGCGCUCAUUAUCAUGUGGCAGAAGCGCCAUGUGUACGGCCCCCUCCCGCAAAGCUUUGACAAAGAGUGGGUGGCCAAGCAGACCAAGAGGAUGCUGGACAUGAAGGUGAACCCCAUCCAGGGCUUAGCCUCCAAGUGGGACUACGAAAAGAAUGAGUGGAAGAAGUGAGAGAUGCUGGCCUGCGCCUGCACCUGCGCCUGGCUCUGUCACCGCCAUGCAACUCCAUGCCUAUUUACUGGAAACCUGUUAUGCCAAACAGUUGUACCACUGCUAAUAAAUGACCAGUUUACCUGAAACCCUUUGUGAUCAGUUCUUUAAUGAUACC